CCUACGGGAGGCAGCAGUAGGGAAUAUUGCUCAAUGGGGGAAACCCUGAAGCAGCAACGCCGCGUGGAGGAUGAAGGUUUUCGGAUUGUAAACUCCUUUUGUUGGAGAAGAUAAUGACGGUAUCUAACGAAUAAGCACCGGCUAACUCCGUGCCAGCAGCCGCGGUAAUACGGAGGGUGCAAGCGUUACUCGGAAUCACUGGGCGUAAAGAGCGCGUAGGCGGGCUAGCAAGUCAGAUGUGAAAUCCUAUGGCUUAACCAGAGAACUGCAUUUGAAACUGUGAUUCUAGAGGAUGGGAGAGGUAGGUGGAAUUCUUGGUGUAGGGGUAAAAUCCGUAGAGAUCAAGAGGAAUACUCAUUGCGAAGGCGACCUGCUAGAACAUAACUGACGCUGAUGCUCGAAAGCGUGGGGAGCGAACAGGAUUAGAUACCCUGGUAGUC
rnacentral:rRNA from 1 species